UGGUAGGAUAAGCUGCUGCUGGGGAGAGAGACCGGUUGUCUCCUCUCCCUGGAACUCACUCUGCUGCUGGGGAGUGAGGCCGACUACCUCCACUCCCUGUAGGGAAUACUGCCACUGGGGAGAGAGGCCGACUGCCUCCUCUCCCUGCAGAACACACUGUUGCUGGGGAGAGAGACCGGCUGCGAGCUCUCCCUGCAGAACACACUGCUGCUGUGGAGAGGGACCAGUUGUCUCCUCUCCCUGGGACUCACUCUGCCGCUGGGGAGUGAGGCCAAUUACCUCCACUCCCCAUAGGGAACACUGCCGCUGGGGAGAGAGGC